AGGUUGUGGUGAGGACACUUCCUCAACAAAUCCUUAAAUCUCUCCAAGGCCUCAAAAAGUGACUCUGAAUCCAACUGGACAAAUGAAGUAAUCUCCUAACGCAGCUU